rnacentral:rRNA from 1 species
UACGAAGGGGGCUAGCGUUGCUCGGAAUCACUGGGCGUAAAGGGUGCGUAGGCGGGUCUUUAAGUCAGGGGUGAAAUCCUGGAGCUCAACUCCAGAACUGCCUUUGAUACUGAAGAUCUUGAGUUCGGGAGAGGUGAGUGGAACUGCGAGUGUAGAGGUGAAAUUCGUAGAUAUUCGCAAGAACACCAGUGGCGAAGGCGGCUCACUGGCCCGAUACUGACGCUGAGGCACGGAAAGCGUGGGAGCAAACAGG